CCGUAGCUCAAUUGGAUAGAGUGUCUGGCUUCGGACCAGAAGGUUGUAGGUUCGAGUCCUACCGGGUG
rnacentral:tRNA from 1 species